rnacentral:rRNA from 1 species
CCUACGGGAGGCAGCAGUGAGGAAUAUUGGUCAAUGGGCGAGAGCCUGAACCAGCCAAGUCGCGUGAAGGAUGAAGGAUCUAUGGUUUGUAAACUUCUUUUAUAUGGGAAUAAAGUGAGGAACGUGUUCCUUUUUGUAUGUACCAUAUGAAUAAGCAUCGGCUAACUCCGUGCCAGCAGCCGCGGUAAUAUGGAGGAUGCAAGCGUUAUCAGGAUUUAUUGGGUUUAAAGGGUGCGUAGGUGGUUAAUUAAGGAAGCGUUGAAAGUUUGUGGCUCAACCAUAAAAUUGCCGUUGAAACUGGUUGAUGUGAGUAUCUUUGAGGGAGGCGGAAUGCGUGGUGUAGCGGGGAAAUGCA